CACGUAGGAGGCGAGCGUUGUCCGGAAUCAUUGGGCGUAAAGAGCGCGUAGGCGGCCCUGCAAGUCGGAUGUGAAAUCCCACGGCUCAACCGUGGAAGUGCAUUCGAAACUGCAGGGCUAGAGUCCUGGAGAGGAAGGUGGAAUGCUUGGUGUAGAGGUGAAAUUCGUAGAUAUCAAGCGGAACACCGGUGGCGAAGGCGGCCUUCUGGACAGUGACUGACGCUGAGACGCGAAAGCGUGGGGAGCAAACAGG
rnacentral:rRNA from 1 species